ensembl:lncRNA
GUUCAGUACAACUUCCAAUGCAGACAAUUCAGAGAGCUACUGUUUAACAAUACCCUGUGAGACUAUUAUGAAUGGGUUUCUGUGCCUGGGGAUUACAGUUCACUCUGAACACUGCCACCAGAAUGUGAACCACCUCUAGAUUAUCUGGCCAUCUUUUAAACAUCUGAACAUUGUUUCCUAAGCUUCCAGCGUGCAUCAAUUUCAAACUGACCAAUGUCAGUUCCCUGAGUCUCACAUCGCCCUUGGAGGACCUAGGUACCGCAUCUGGCCUCUCACCAUUCCUUUCACGUCUCGUCACUCCAUACCAUCACAAUCUGCUCAUUCUGGGGCACUUCCCAAAUUAUACAUCAGGAAAGUGAACCAUGUUCCAGUUUUCACAUCAGAAUGAACAAGGCCGGGCCUGCUAAUCAGCUGGAAAUGAUCAACGCUGCUCUCUUCACCACAAAACUCUGCCCCUGGUCUUGGGCUCUUUUGUCUACAGUUCUUGGGGCUACUCACAAAGCAAAAACCACCCAUCGCUCUUGAUGCUCAGAUAAUGCUUCUGUAUCCCUGUUCCUCCCCGUCUCCCACCCCCUAAAUACAACUCAUCAAGUAGGAUUUCAAGCUGGAAGGAAUUAAAAGGGAAAAUUUGUAUAUAAUAUAUAUAUGAUGCAUAAAAUAUAUGUGUAUAUCAGAC